CUGCCAUGCCUAAAAGAGGCUGAAAGGGAUGCUAAAGGAGACAAAGCCAAGGUGAAGAAGGAGCCACAGAGAAGAUCUGCAAGGCUCUCUGCUAAACCUGCUUCUCUAAAGCCAGAGCCCAAGCCUAAAACGGCCCCCACAAAGAAGGGAGAGAAGGUACCCAAGGGGAAAGCCGAUGCUAGUAAGGAUGAGAAUAAUCCUGCAGAAAAUGGAGAUGUCAAAACAGACCAGGCACAGAAAGCUGAAGGUGUGCAUUUUUGCCAA
rnacentral:lncRNA from 1 species